rnacentral:rRNA from 1 species
CCUACGUGUGGCAGCAGUGGGGAAUAUUGCGCAAUGGGCGAAAGCCUGACGCAGCGACGCCGCGUGAGGGAUGAAGGUCUUCGGAUCGUAAACCUCUGUCAGCAGGGAAGAACGGUCACUGUGCUAAUCAGCAGUGAAUUGACGGUACCUGCAAAGGAAGCACCGGCUAACUCCGUGCCAGCAGCCGCGGUAAUACGGAGGGGCCUUUCGUUAAUCGGAUUUACUUGGCGUAAAGCGCUCGUAGGCGGUAUGUCAAGUCAAGGGUGAAAUCCCCGCGCUCAACGUGGGAACUGCCUUUGAAACUGGCAAACUGGAGUGGGUGAGAGGAUAGUGGAA